rnacentral:tRNA from 1 species
UAGCCCAGUUGGUAGAGCACAAGACUUCUAACCUUGGGGUCUUGGGUUCAAGCCCCAU